GAUGAAGAACGUAGCGAAAUGCGAUACUUGGUGUGAAUUGCAGAAUCCCGUGAACCAUCGAGUCUUUGAACGCAAGUUGCGCCUCAAGCCAUUAGGUUGAGGGCACGUCUGCCUGGGCGUCACAUAUCGUUGCCUGAUGCCAGUUUCCUCGUGAUGGGUGACUGUGCAGGGCGAAUGAUGGCUUCCCGUGAGCAUUGUUGCCUCAUGGUUGGUUGAAAAUUGAGUCCUUGGUAGGGAGCGCCGUGAUAGAUGGUGGCUGAGUGACGAACGAGACCCAAUCAUGUGAGACCCCUACCGAAUUUGGCCUUCAUGACCCACAUGCGUCUUUGGAACGCUCAUGACGAGACCUCAGGUCAGGCGGGGCUACCCGCUGAGUUUAAGCAUAUCAAUAAGCGGAGGA
rnacentral:misc_RNA from 1 species